AUCUCCUGGAACAUCCAAGAGCUCACAGAUGAAUUGGUUAUAUGGAUCAGAGUGACCUUCAGUCCUUGUGCAGUGGCACAUCAAGCAGCAGCCUACACCCAGUGCAAGCCGUACCACCACCUCCUGACAGCAAACACAGACUUCAUCUUCUAAGCACAGAACUAAAGGCACAGAGCUAAUCACCUGCAUACAUCUAAACUCAUAACUGAAAAAUACGGUUUUGCUUCUUUGCCUCAGGCAGCAGGGCUGAACUCUGAAGAAAUCUCCAGAGGUGCCUUCCAAAUUCACCUAUUCUGUGAUUCUGUGAGUUACAUUGACUACUUUGUGGCAGUACAGCCUCUGGUGAGCAAGAGCAACAAUAAAAGA